rnacentral:rRNA from 1 species
AGAAAAUUGGGUGAUCAAGCUACUAAGGGUGCAUGGUGGAUGUCUUGGUACCAAAAGCUGAUGAAGGACGUUGAAGGCUGCGAUAUGCUUCGGGGAGCUGCCAAACAAGCUUUGAUCCGGAGAAUUCCGAAUUGGGAAACCUGUCGUAAGGAGCACACAUGUGCUUCUUUUGGUUUAUACUGCGACAUCAUUAUCUGAAUAAAUAGGGUAAUGAGAGGAACGAAGGGAACUGAAACAUCUAAGUACCUUCAGGAAGAGAAAGAAAAAUCGAUUUCCCCAGUAGCGGCGAGCGAAAAGGAAAGAGCCUAAACUGGCCAUAUGUGAUAGCCCUUAUGUGUUGUAUGGUCAGGGUCGAGGGAGUUGCGAUGAGUAAGAUAAGGCUUGCUUAAAAUAACUCUUAUUUCUAGUCGAAUAAGCAGGAAAGCUUAGCUAUAAAGGGUGAUAGUCCCGUAGAUGAAAGUGAUAAGAGUUGUUUCAGUAAUUUCCCGAGUAAUGCCGGUCACGUGGAAACCGGCAUGAAUUCAGGAGGACCACCUCCUAAGGCUAAAUACUUUUGGUAACCGAUAGUGAACAAGUAGCGUGAGUGAAAGAUGAAAAGAACCCCUUUUAGGGGAGUGAAAUAGAACCUGAAACCAUGUACUUACAAGCGGUGGAAGCACAAUGUUGAUUGAAGGAUUUAUUAAUUUAAAUUUUUUCUUUUAAUUCGUGUAACCGCGUGCCUUUUGCAUAAUGAACCGGCGAGUUGUUGUUUGUUGCAGGUUAAGCCUAUAAUGGGUGGAACCAAAGCGAAAGCGAGUGCUAACUGCGCGACUGAAUGUAGCAAGUAGCAGACCCGAAACCGAGUGAUCUACCCUUGGUCAGGAUGAAGUUCCGGUAAAA